GCCUAGGUGGUGAAAUUGGUAGACACGCCAGCUUCAGGUGCUGGUGAUCGCAAGGUCGUGGAAGUUCGAGUCUUCUCCUGGGCACCA
rnacentral:tRNA from 1 species